AGCUCCACCAGGUCUGUAACCCCCGUGAAAACACCGCUUAGGUGGGCAGAGCUGCUGGGUGUGGUGCCAGCCCCCAAGGACGCCUGUGUCCCUGCCUCCCUGGCCCCGGCUGGCCUCGCAGCGCCCUGCAGACUGACUGGGCAUCGCCAGUCCCACCUGGGCUCUUUGCAACGUGGCCCGGUUGCUUUGCAGGAGAAGCAGUCAGCAGCCAAGCUGGCAGAGGCCCUGCGGGAGCAGGCUGAGAUCGAGAAGGUGCUGAGGAAAGAACGCGAGUGCCUCCGGGAGAGACGCGAGGGCCUCCAAGGGCAGACAGUGGGGGGGAAGACGGAGCAGGCGGCCAGGCUGUCCACGUCACUUAUGCGGGAGAUGGUGGCUGUGAGGCUGGUAGGACGGACAAGCCCGACGUGGGCCUUGGGGAAGAAAGGGUGUGCAGGGCACCCGUUGGCUUUGGGGGCACUGGUCUCAGUGGGGAUGAGGGUGGGGGUCUGAGCCCCCAAGGCCCAGCAGUCUUGCCCACACCGACACGUGUCCUGCUGUGCCUUGACCUGCAGGAGGAGCAGCUGGUGGCAAAGAGGCAGGGCAUCACUUUUUGGCUGCAGUGAGUUGCCGCGUGGGGCUCGGCGUGCCAGGGCUCGUGUGCGGGGGGUGGGAUGCCCAGGCUGGCGGUCCCAAGGCAUCCAUCAGCUUCUCCCUUCUCAACACGGACACAGCUCAGGAUCCCUUCUCCCGGGGUUGCGGAGGUGGUGGUUGUUUCUGGGCUCAGUAGGGAGAUGAAGAGCAGAGCCGAGAUGCUUGGGCCCUUAAGCUGAGGCCCAGGAACGGGGCAGGGGGGUGGUGUGCCCAGCAUGAUGCAGGGUGCCAGUUGCUGGCCUGGUGGCAUCUGCAGGUGAUGUCUGGAAACAGAUGAGACAGAUUUCUCCCCUCCGCUGUCUUAACCCUCUCCUGGCCUGCAGGAAGCUGUUUGUGCUCCUCGCCUGCCUGCAGCUCGUGUUGCUCUGCCUGGUCCUGCUCACGAGGGACAGCAUCAGCUGGGACCUGCCCUGCAGGCUGGCGUCCACCUUUGGGAGCUGCCCAGCGUGGCCACCACCCUUCUGAUACCCCUGGCCUUGCACUGCGUGGGGUGGAGAGUGACAGGGACGCUGGGCGCCGUGCAGACCGGCAAAUGUCCAACCCUGCAGCACCACCCUUCUCCCGGGGCACCGCUGCACACAUCUGGAAUGGCAUGUGCAGGCACACUGCACAGCCAGCUGUGACUCCACCUCGCUGUGGAGGACGUUUGCCUGCCAAAUACUUGCCACCGAGCUCACCCUGCCUUUAACAAUAAAAAGCACAGCUGAGAA